rnacentral:rRNA from 1 species
ACGGGUGAGUAACACGUGGGUAACCUGCCCAUCAGAAGGGGAUAACACUUGGAAACAGGUGCUAAUACCGUAUAACACUAUUUUCCGCAUGGAAGAAAGUUGAAAGGCGCUUUUGCGUCACUGAUGGAUGGACCCGCGGUGCAUUAGCUAGUUGGUGAGGUAACGGCUCACCAAGGCCACGAUGCAUAGCCGACCUGAGAGGGUGAUCGGCCACACUGGGACUGAGACACGGCCCAGACUCCUACGGGAGGCAGCAGUAGGGAAUCUUCGGCAAUGGACGAAAGUCUGACCGAGCAACGCCGCGUGAGUGAAGAAGGUUUUCGGAUCGUAAGACUCUGUUGUUAGAGAAGAACAAGGAUGAGAGUAGAACGUUCAUCCCUUGACGGUAUCUAACCAGAAAGCCACGGCUAACUACGUGCCAGCAGCCGCGGUAAUACGUAGGUGGCAAGCGUUGUCCGGAUUUAUUGGGCGUAAAGCGAGCGCAGGCGGUUUCUUAAGUCUGAUGUGAAAGCCCCCGGCUCAACCGGGGAGGGUCAUUGGAAACUGGGAGACUUGAGUGCAGAAGAGGAGAGUGGAAUUCCAUGUGUAGCGGUGAAAUGCGUAGAUAUAUGGAGGAACACCAGUGGCGAAGGCGGCUCUCUGGUCUGUAACUGACGCUGAGGCUCGAAAGCGUGGGGAGCGAACAGGAUUAGAUACCCUGGUAGUCCACGCCGUAAA